GGUUAAGCGACUAAGCGUACACGGUGGAUGCCCUGGCAGUCAGAGGCGAUGAAGGACGUGCUAAUCUGCGAUAAGCGUCGGUAAGGUGAUAUGAACCGUUAUAACCGGCGAUUUCCGAAUGGGGAAACCCAGUGUGUUUCGACACACUAUCAUUAACUGAAUCCAUAGGUUAAUGAGGCGAACCGGGGGAACUGAAACAUCUAAGUACCCCGAGGAAAAGAAAUCAACCGAGAUUCCCCCAGUAGCGGCGAGCGAACGGGGAGCAGCCCAGAGCCUGAAUCAGUGUGUGUGUUAGUGGAAGCGUCUGGAAAGGCGCGCGAUACAGGGUGACAGCCCCGUACACAAAAAUGCACAUGCUGUGAGCUCGAUGAGUAGGGCGGGACACGUGGUAUCCUGUCUGAAUAUGGGGGGACCAUCCUCCAAGGCUAAAUACUCCUGACUGACCGAUAGUGAACCAGUACCGUGAGGGAAAGGCGAAAAGAACCCCGGCGAGGGGAGUGAAAAAGAACCUGAAACCGUGUACGUACAAGCAGUGGGAGCACGCUUAGGCGUGUGACUGCGUACCUUUUGUAUAAUGGGUCAGCGACUUAUAUUCUGUAGCAAGGUUAACCGAAUAGGGGAGCCGAAGGGAAACCGAGUCUUAACUGGGCGUUAAGUUGCAGGGUAUAGACCCGAAACCCGGUGAUCUAGCCAUGGGCAGGUUGAAGGUUGGGUAACACUAACUGGAGGACCGAACCGACUAAUGUUGAAAAAUUAGCGGAUGACUUGUGGCUGGGGGUGAAAGGCCAAUCAAACCGGGAGAUAGCUGGUUCUCCCCGAAAGCUAUUUAGGUAGCGCCUCGUGAAUUCAUCUCCGGGGGUAGAGCACUGUUUCGGCAAGGGGGUCAUCCCGACUUACCAACCCGAUGCAAACUGCGAAUACCGGAGAAUGUUAUCACGGGAGACACACGGCGGGUGCUAACGUCCGUCGUGAAGAGGGAAACAACCCAGACCGCCAGCUAAGGUCCCAAAGUCAUGGUUAAGUGGGAAACGAUGUGGGAAGGCCCAGACAGCCAGGAUGUUGGCUUAGAAGCAGCCAUCAUUUAAAGAAAGCGUAAUAGCUCACUGGUCGAGUCGGCCUGCGCGGAAGAUGUAACGGGGCUAAACCAUGCACCGAAGCUGCGGCAGCGACACUGUGUGUUGUUGGGUAGGGGAGCGUUCUGUAAGCCUGUGAAGGUGUGCUGUGAGGCAUGCUGGAGGUAUCAGAAGUGCGAAUGCUGACAUAAGUAACGAUAAAGCGGGUGAAAAGCCCGCUCGCCGGAAGACCAAGGGUUCCUGUCCAACGUUAAUCGGGGCAGGGUGAGUCGACCCCUAAGGCGAGGCCGAAAGGCGUAGUCGAUGGGAAACAGGUUAAUAUUCCUGUACUUGGUGUUACUGCGAAGGGGGGACGGAGAAGGCUAUGUUGGCCGGGCGACGGUUGUCCCGGUUUAAGCGUGUAGGCUGGUUUUCCAGGCAAAUCCGGAAAAUCAAGGCUGAGGCGUGAUGACGAGGCACUACGGUGCUGAAGCAACAAAUGCCCUGCUUCCAGGAAAAGCCUCUAAGCAUCAGGUAACAUCAAAUCGUACCCCAAACCGACACAGGUGGUCAGGUAGAGAAUACCAAGGCGCUUGAGAGAACUCGGGUGAAGGAACUAGGCAAAAUGGUGCCGUAACUUCGGGAGAAGGCACGCUGAUAUGUAGGUGAAGUCCCUCGCGGAUGGAGCUGAAAUCAGUCGAAGAUACCAGCUGGCUGCAACUGUUUAUUAAAAACACAGCACUGUGCAAACACGAAAGUGGACGUAUACGGUGUGACGCCUGCCCGGUGCCGGAAGGUUAAUUGAUGGGGUUAGCGCAAGCGAAGCUCUUGAUCGAAGCCCCGGUAAACGGCGGCCGUAACUAUAACGGUCCUAAGGUAGCGAAAUUCCUUGUCGGGUAAGUUCCGACCUGCACGAAUGGCGUAAUGAUGGCCAGGCUGUCUCCACCCGAGACUCAGUGAAAUUGAACUCGCUGUGAAGAUGCAGUGUACCCGCGGCAAGACGGAAAGACCCCGUGAACCUUUACUAUAGCUUGACACUGAACAUUGAGCCUUGAUGUGUAGGAUAGGUGGGAGGCUUUGAAGUGUGGACGCCAGUCUGCAUGGAGCCGACCUUGAAAUACCACCCUUUAAUGUUUGAUGUUCUAACGUUGACCCGUAAUCCGGGUUGCGGACAGUGUCUGGUGGGUAGUUUGACUGGGGCGGUCUCCUCCUAAAGAGUAACGGAGGAGCACGAAGGUUGGCUAAUCCUGGUCGGACAUCAGGAGGUUAGUGCAAUGGCAUAAGCCAGCUUGACUGCGAGCGUGACGGCGCGAGCAGGUGCGAAAGCAGGUCAUAGUGAUCCGGUGGUUCUGAAUGGAAGGGCCAUCGCUCAACGGAUAAAAGGUACUCCGGGGAUAACAGGCUGAUACCGCCCAAGAGUUCAUAUCGACGGCGGUGUUUGGCACCUCGAUGUCGGCUCAUCACAUCCUGGGGCUGAAGUAGGUCCCAAGGGUAUGGCUGUUCGCCAUUUAAAGUGGUACGCGAGCUGGGUUUAGAACGUCGUGAGACAGUUCGGUCCCUAUCUGCCGUGGGCGCUGGAGAACUGAGGGGGGCUGCUCCUAGUACGAGAGGACCGGAGUGGACGCAUCACUGGUGUUCGGGUUGUCAUGCCAAUGGCACUGCCCGGUAGCUAAAUGCGGAAGAGAUAAGUGCUGAAAGCAUCUAAGCACGAAACUUGCCCCGAGAUGAGUUCUCCCUGACCCUUUAAGGGUCCUGAAGGAACGUUGAAGACGACGACGUUGAUAGGCCGGGUGUGUAAGCGCAGCGAUGCGUUGAGCUAACCGGUACUAAUGAACCGUGAGGCUUAACCUU
rnacentral:rRNA from 1 species